rnacentral:tRNA from 1 species
CCUUCGAUAGCUCAGCUGGAAGAGCGUGGGACUGUAACUGGAUAACUGUAACAUCCCAAGGUCACUGGUUCGAUCCCGGUUCGAAGGA